UCAGGACGAACGCUGGCGGCGUGCCUAAUACAUGCAAGUCGAGCGGACCUUUCGGGGUCAGCGGCGGACGGGUGAGUAACACGUGGGCAAUCUGCCCGAUACUCUGGGAUAACGCUUGGAAACGAGUGCUAAUACCGGAUGGUCUUCUUGGUCGCAUGGCCGAGAAGGAAAAGACGCGUUCGCGUCGGUGUCGGAUGAGCCCGCGGCGCAUUAGCUAGUUGGUGAGGUAACGGCCCACCAAGGCGACGAUGCGUAGCCGACCUGAGAGGGUGACCGGCCACACUGGGACUGAGACACGGCCCAGACUCCUACGGGAGGCAGCAGUAGGGAAUCUUCCACAAUGGGCGAAAGCCUGAUGGAGCAACGCCGCGUGAGUGAUGAAGGCCUUCGGGUUGUAAAACUCUGUCAUUCGGGACGAACCGGAGUCUGAGGAAAUGCAGACUCUCUGACGGUACCGGAGGAGGAAGCCCCGGCUAACUACGUGCCAGCAGCCGCGGUAAUACGUAGGGGGCAAGCGUUGUCCGGAUUCACUGGGCGUAAAGCGCGCGCAGGCGGUGAUGUAAGUCUGANGUGAAAACCCGAAGCUCAACUUCGGGACUGCCUUGNAUACUGCGUCACUUGAGGAUAGGAGAGGCAAGGGGAAUUCCACGUGUAGCGGUGAAAUGCGUANAGAUGUGGAGGAACACCUGUGGCGAAGGCGCCUUGCUGGCCUAUUUCUGACGCUGAGGCGCGAAAGCGUGGGGAGCAAACAGGAUUAGAUACCCUGGUAGUCCACGCUGUAAACGAUGAGUGCUAGGUGUAGGUGGGCUCAUACCCAUCUGUGCCGAAGCUAACGCAUUAAGCACUCCGCCUGGGGGAGUACGGUCGCAAGACUGAAACUCAAAGGAAUUGACGGGGGCCCGCACAAGCAGUGGAGCAUGUGGUUUAAUUCGAAGCAACGCGAAGAACCUUACCAGGACUUGACAUCCCAUAGACCAGUCUAGAGAUAGACUUUCCCUUCGGGGCUGUGGUGACAGGUGGUGCAUGGUUGUCGUCAGCUCGUGUCGUGAGAUGUUGGGUUAAGUCCCGCAACGAGCGCAACCCUUACUUUGUGUUGCCAGCAUUCAGUUGGGCACUCACAAGGGACUGCCGCCGAUAAGGCGGAGGAAGGUGGGGAUGACGUCAAAUCAUCAUGCCCCUUAUGUCCUGGGCUACACACGUGCUACAAUGGGCGGUACAACGGGAUGCGAAGCCGCGAGGUGGAGCCAAACCCUGAAAACCGUUCGUAGCUCGGAUUGUAGGCUGCAACUCGCCUACAUGAAGCCGGAACUGCUAGUAAUCGCGGAUCAGCAUGCCGCGGUGAAUCCGUUCCCGGGCCUUGUACACACCGCCCGUCACACCACGAGAAUGGGCAACACCCGAAGUCGGUGGGGUAACCUUUACGGGAGCUAGCCGCCGAAGGUGGGGCCUGUGAUUGGGGUG
rnacentral:rRNA from 1 species